AUUAGAUGAGCCUAUAUUAGAUUAGCUAGUUGGUGGAGUAAUAGCCUACCAAGGCAAUGAUCUAUAGCUGAUCUGAGAGGAUGAUCAGCCACACUGGAACUGAGAUACGGUCCAGACUCCUACGGGAGGCAGCAGUGGGGAAUAUUGGACAAUGGGCGAAAGCCUGAUCCAGCUAUGCCGCAUGAGUGAAGAAGGCCUUUGGGUUGUAAAGCUCUUUUAGUGAGGAAGAUAAUGACGGUACUCACAGAAGAAGUCCUGGCUAACUCCGUGCCAGCAGCCGCGGUAAUACGGAGAGGGCUAGCGUUAUUCGGAAUUAUUGGGCGUAAAGGGCGCGUAGGCUGAUUAAUAAGUUAAAAGUGAAAUCCCGAGGCUUAACCUUGGAAUUGCUUUUAAAACUAUUAAUCUAGAGAUUGAAAGAGGAUAGAGGAAUUCCUGAUGUAGAGGUAAAAUUCGUAAAUAUUAGGAGGAACACCAGUGGCGAAGGCGUCUAUCUGGUUCAAAUCUGACGCUGAGGCGCGAAGGCGUGGGGAGCAAACAGGAUUAGAUACCCUGGUAGUCCAUGCUAUAAACGAUGAAUGUUAAAUAUGGGAAG
rnacentral:rRNA from 1 species